CACCAUUCAACAUUAGUACACUAUACGUUGCACAACCAAACCAAAUAUCAAAAAUACAAACUAUGGCGUCGUUUUGCCUGAAGACAGUUUUACUAUUGAUGUUCUUCACCUACUUAACUUCUACAGAUGCUCAAACUUGACCACCACCUACUAAAGGUGCCCCCGCUGCCUUUUGCGGAGCACAAUUGAAAGCCGGUGUAGAACUGAAGGUUGAAAGAAAGAGAGACAUAAGGAGUGAAGAUGAAAUUAUUGACCGAUUGCUGGCAAUGAAGAAUUAGGAGGAACCUUGGCAGACACUGUUGAAGACAAGUGCAAUAAUUUAAAAAAAAAGGAUGAUUAACAGAUUAAGUGUAUAUGAUUACCAAAGUAUAAUUUGCAAUAUUUUCGGGUGGUAAGGCAAUUGAUUUAAAAUAUUUGAUCGUGCUUGCUUCGAUCCGGUUUCGUCUCACCAAAUGACUGUUCAACCGUUCAAUGUUGUCUGAAUAUUCAUACUAACCUUCUAUAUAGUUACCCGACCAGCAUUAAUCUUUUCAGUCUUAUCAAAGAGUCAGUAGCUAAGCAAUUUUUCUAAACAAGAAACGAGAUUGCCUUUUCUCUUGAAAUGUUUCAAAUCCGCUAUAGAAAUAAUUUCAAUUUUUAGAGAAUUUCGUUUUACCAUUUUAAUGACAGUGUUCUUAGUGAUAAUGACAGCAAUUUGGUCAAAUCUUUGUGAAACCAUUUGCU